CGAUGUUUCACAUUUUUUCGCUGAACUCUGUGUUGUUGUGCGCGCUGAGGGCGGGGGCGGCGGUGGCGAUAAUGCCGAAGUUUGAGAUGAAUAUGAUGUUGGAGGUGAUUGAGAAGUAUAAGGUGACGUUGGCGGCCGUGGUGCCGCCGUUGGUGCUGGCACUGGCGAAGAAUCCGGUGGUGGAGAAGUAUGAUCUUGGUUCCGUGAGUAAGGUGUUGUCGGGGGCGGCUCCGCUGGGAAAGGAUCUUGAGGAGGCCCUGUCGAGACGAGUCCCAUUGGCGGUGUUCGGACAGGGAUAUGGAAUGACAGAGGCUGGUCCAGUGCUAUCUAUGUGCUCUGCUUUCGCAAAGGUACCUUCACCAAGCAAGUCAGGCUCUUGCGGGACAGUAGUCAGGAAUGCAGAGCUCAAGGUUAUAGACACCGAAACUGGUUUCUCUCUCGGUCGCAACCAGCCUGGUGAGAUAUGCAUUCGCGGGCCGCAAAUCAUGAAAGGUUAUUUGAAUGAUCCGAAUGCUACAUCAACAACAAUUGAUGUUGAAGGGUGGCUUCACACUGGUGAUGUUGGAUUUGUAGACGAUGAUGAUGAAGUCUUCAUAGUUGACAGAGUAAAGGAGCUCAUCAAAUUCAAGGGAUUUCAGGUUCCGCCGGCAGAACUUGAGGCGCUACUUGUCAGUCAUCCAUCCAUUGUUGAUGCAGCUGUCGUCCCAAAAAUGGACGAGAACGCAGGUGAAGUUCCAGUCGCGUUUAUUGUCCGAUCGAAAGAUUCGGACAUCACAGAGCAAGCUGUGAAAGAAUUCAUAUCCAAACAGGUGGUGUUUUACAAGAGAUUGCAUUCGGUCUAUUUUGUUCAUUCGAUCCCGAAAUCGGUUUCAGGGAAAAUACUAAGGAAAGAUCUGAGAGCCAGAUUAGCCAGUUCUUGAAGGAAUCUCUUAUUUGUUAUGUAUGAUUAUUGUGUAAUUUAUUGUGACGACCGUCGAUUAGAUCGAUUUGUUAAUAAACAAGUUGUGUUCUAAUUUGAACAAUCUG
rnacentral:misc_RNA from 1 species